rnacentral:rRNA from 1 species
CACGGGGGAGCAAGCGUUGUUCGGAUUCAUUGGGCGUAAAGGGCUCGUAGGUGGCUUUGUAAGUCGGAGGUGAAAUCCCACGGCUCAACCGUGGACACGCCUUCGAAACUGUGAAGCUUGAGGCUGGGAGAGGAGAUCGGAAUUCCUAGUGUAGAGGUGAAAUUCGUAGAUAUUAGGAAGAACACCGGUGGCGAAGGCGGCCCACUGGAUCGGUACUGACGCUGGAGGUGCGAAAGCGUGGGGAGCAAACAGG